AAUAGUACAGCGAUGGAACGUUGAAAAGUACCCAUGACAGGAAGUCAAAAGAACCUGAAACCUAAUAGUUAUAGCUUGGUACUGCUCUAAGGAGUUGUAUCAUACGUUUCGAAUAACGUGCCAGGGAGUUCAUCUAAGUGGCAAGGGUAAUCUACAAGAGUACCCAAAGCGAAAGCAACAUGCUCACAGCUUGCGAGGAGCGUGGUAUGAAAAUGCCAGAAGUCACUUGGGUGUAACCCGAAGCCGGACGAUCUAACCGUGGGUAAGGUGAAGCAACCGUAAAAGGUUGUGGAGGCCUGAAGAGGUUCUACGAGCAAGUGUUCUUCUAACUUGGGGUUAGGGGUGAAAAGCCAAUCGAGUCCGGCAAUAGCUGGUUCCUACCGAAAUUGGCCGUAGUCAAGCCUUAGGGGAGAUAGCUGGAGUAGUAGAGCUACGGGUUGAAGAUUUAGGUCCCGAAAGGGAUCGGUUUUCUGUCCAACUCCGAACAUUCUAGCAUCACAGAACCUAAGAGACGGGAAGCCGAGGUAAGCUCGGUUUCCGAGAGGGGAACAACCCAGACUAUAGUUAAGGUCCCUAAAUGCUGACUAAGUGUGAAAGGGUGAAAAGUGUCUAUGGUCGAAGACAGCAAGGAGGUUGGCUUAGAAGCAGCCAUCCUUUAAAAAGUGCGUAACAGCUUACUCGUCAAGACGGUAGGCCUUUAAAAUGGACGGGGCUAAGUCAGCUACCGAUACUAUAGAAUACCUAAACGGUAAUUGGUAGAUAGGCGUUCUUUAAGGGCAGAAGUAUUCUCGCGAGAGAGUAUGGACCUUAUAGAAAUGAGAAUCCUGGCGGUAGUAGGAUCUUAGCACUGUAAGAAUCAGUG
rnacentral:rRNA from 1 species